rnacentral:rRNA from 1 species
GUGCCAGCAGCCGCGGUAAUACGUAGGGCGCAAGCGUUAUCCGGAAUUAUUGGGCGUAAAGAGCUCGUAGGCGGUUUGUCGCGUCUGCUGUGAAAACGCGGGGCUCAACUCCGCGCCUGCAGUGGGUACGGGCAGACUAGAGUGCGGUAGGGGAGAUUGGAAUUCCUGGUGUAGCGGUGGAAUGCGCAGAUAUCAGGAGGAACACCGAUGGCGAAGGCAGAUCUCUGGGCCGUGACUGACGCUGAGGAGCGAAAGGGUGGGGAGCAAACAGGCUUAGAUACCCUGGUAGUCCACCCCGUAAACGUUGGGAACUAGUUGUGGGGGCCUUUCCACGGUCUCCGUGACGCAGCUAACGCAUUAAGUUCCCCGCCUGGGGAGUACGGCCGCAAGGCUAAAACUCAAAGGAAUUGACGGGGACCCGCACAAGCGGCGGAGCAUGCGGAUUAAUUCGAUGCAACGCGAAGAACCUUACCAAGGCUUGACAUACACCGGAAACGUCCAGAGAUGGUCGCCCCUUUUUGGUCGGUGUACAGGUGGUGCAUGGUUGUCGUCAGCUCGUGUCGUGAGAUGUUGGGUUAAGUCCCGCAACGAGCGCAACCCUCGUUCUAUGUUGCCAGCACGUUAUGGUGGGAACUCAUGGGAUACUGCCGGGGUCAACUCGGAGGAAGGUGGGGAUGACGUCAAAUCAUCAUGCCC